rnacentral:rRNA from 1 species
UACGUAGGGGGCAAGCGUUGUCCGGAAUCAUUGGGCGUAAAGAGCGUGUAGGCGGCCCGAUAAGUCCGCUGUGAAAGUCCGGGGCUCAACCCUGGGAUGCCGGUGGAUACUGCCGGGCUCGAGUCCGGAAGAGGCGAGUGGAAUUCCUGGUGUAGCGGUGAAAUGCGCAGAUAUCAGGAGGAACACCAAUGGCGAAGGCAGCUCGCUGGGACGUGACUGACGCUGAGACGCGAAAGCGUGGGGAGCAAACAGG